CACCAGGGAAGGAUCUCUUCUGGAGAUUCGCUCUGCUGGAGUUUCAUAAGCAAGCCUAGGAUAUGGACCCUCUACUAACUGAUGGAAGGAGGUUGGUUGGAACAAUGACAAAGAAAAGAAUAAGCAGCUGAACUAAACUGGACCUUUAAAAAUAAUUUCCACUUUCCUCACAGCAUUUGUUUGCUCUUUGGCCAGAGGAGGUUUGUUCAGAGACCUGGCCCUUAAAAAGGUGAAUUCAAAUCUGUUUGGAAUUCUGCAAUAUUCAAGCUACUGCUUUUGAACUAGUGAGAGAACAGCUUCAGAUAUGAAUCCUGAGUGUUGGAGACCUGCAGUGAACUUCAGAUCCAUGAAAGUCUUUUUUUUUUUUUUUCCCCCACCAAUUUCCAUGAGAUCAGCAUUUCUUUGCUAUUCAAGAGCAUCUUUAGAAAUGUGCUUAGGACUUGUUUUCUUUUACUUCUGAACAGCACUGCAAAGGGGUUUUGUAGGGUUAACCACACUCUGCUUCUAUGUUGUUUACCCCUCUGAAGCUACAGGGAUCUGUUUCUCAAGGGAUUUGCUCUCACAUCAACACCUUUUGUGGCUUCACAAGAAUUGAUUACUGUAUACAAAUCCCUGAAUGCAUAGAAAGGAGAAUAAACUCUCCCCAUAGCCUCAGAUUAUA